CACAGUAGCCUCGACCCCCUGGGCUCAAUCGAUCUUCCCGCCUCAGCCUGCCAUAGUGCUGGUAUUAUAGUCCCGAGCCUUCCUGAAGGACUAUUACCGGGACCACAACAUCGAGCUCUCCAAGCUGCUGUAUAAGAUGGGCCAGACACUUCCCACUUGGCUACGAGAGGACCUCCAGAACACCAGGUAGCCGUGGCCACCACAGCCAGACUGAACGUUUGUGAAAGCUGGGACAUCCCACCACACGCUGAGCCAGACCUGCAGAGUGGGAAGCUGGACCAGGGCAGCUGCGCACUUAUGAGCAAUACUCUGUGGAGGUCUGGUGGGGCUGGGGGAGCACCCAGGCGGAUCUGCAAGCACCUCGGAGCACCCACCGCUGGGUCUGCGGCCUAAGGGACCUCCCUCGCCAGCAGAGGUCCAUUCCGUUCCCAGCUGCUCCUGGGGAGGCCGCUUCCUGGUAGGAGGGAGUCCACGAGACUCUUUUCUGUCCCUCACUGUGUUCCGCCGACUGUCCCCUCUCGUCACCCAUCACUCCCUGCUUCCGCAGGGCGCCCCUCAGUAUUCGCUGC
rnacentral:lncRNA from 10 species